UACGUCCACACCUUUUAGGUGUGGGCCAGUUGGCUGUCAUACUUCCAAGAAAAGCUCGAACUACUGUAAAGCAUCAAAUACCUGUACCGUAAACCGACACAGGUGGGUUGGUAGAGUAUACCAAGGGGCGCGAGAUAACUCUCUCUAAGGAACUCGGCAAAAUGACCCCGUAACUUCGGGAGAAGGGGUGCCAAGUAACUAAAAUUGCUUGGUCGCAGUGACCAGGCCCUGGCGACUGUUUAUCAAAAACACAGGUCUCCGCAAAGUCGUAAGACAACAUAUGGGGGCUGACGCCUGCCCAGUGCCGGAAGGUUAAAGAAGUUGGUUAUUCAUCCGUGGAGAAGCUGACGACUGAAGCCCCGGUGAACGGCGGCCGUAACUAUAACGGUCCUAAGGUAGCGAAAUUCCUUGUCGGGUAAGUUCCGACCCGCACGAAAGGCGUAACGAUCAGGGCACUGUCUCGGAGAGAGACUCGGUGAAAUAGACAUGUCUGUGAAGAUGCGGACUACCUGCACCUGGACAGAAAGACCCUAUGAAGCUUGACUGUAGCCUGGAAUUGGGUUCGGGCUCUUCUUGCGCAGCCUAGGUGGGAGGCGUUGAAAGCUUUCUUUUGGGAAAGCUGGAGCCAUCAGUGAGAGACCACUCUGGAGGAGCUAGAAUUCUAAUGGCGUUCCUUGAAGCAGGACGCUUGACAGUUUCAGGUGGGCAGUUUGACUGGGGCGGUCACCUCCUAAAAGGUAACGGAGGUGUGCAAAGGUUCCCUCAGGCUGGACGGAAAUCAGCCGUAGAGUGUAAAGGCAGAAGGGAGCUUGACUGCAAGACCUACAAGUCGAGCAGGGGCGAAAGCCGGCCUUAGUGAUCCGACGGUUCCAUGUGGAAGGGCCGUCGCUCAACGGAUAAAAGUUACUCUAGGAUAACAGGCUGAUCUUCCCCAAGAGUUCACAUCGACGGGAAGGUUUGGCACCUCGAUGUCGGCUCAUCGCAACCUGGGGCGGUAGUACGUCCCAAGGGUUGGGCUGUUCGCCCAUGAAAGCGGUACGUGAGCUGGGUUCAGAACGUCGUGAGACAGUUCGGUCCAUAUCCGGUGUAGGCGUUAGAGCAUUGAGAGGAGCCUUCCAUAGUACGAGAGGACCUGGAAGGACGCACCUCUGGUAUACCAGUUAUCAUGCCAAUGGUACACGCUGGGUAGCCAUGUGCGGAGUGGAUAACCGCUGAAAGCAUCUAAGUGGGAAGCCCACCUCAAGAUGAGUGCUCUCCAUCAGGUCACAGGAAGACAACCUGUUUGAUAGGCAGAAGGUGUAAGGCUAGUAAUAGUUUCAGCUGAUCUGUACUAAUAGACCGAUUGA
rnacentral:rRNA from 1 species